UACAGCCAUAUCACAUUGAAACACCAGUUCCCUUAUGAUCACAGAAGUUAAGCAACAUUGAGCCUGGUCAGUACCAAGAUGGGUGACUACUUGGUAAUACCAGGUGCGGUA